rnacentral:rRNA from 1 species
GUGAGGAAUAUUGCGCAAUGGAGGCAACUCUGACGCAGCCAUGCCGCGUGCAGGAAGAAGGCGCUACGCGUUGUAAACUGCUUUUAACCGGGAAGAAACCCCAGGACGUGUCCUGGGUUGACGGUACCGGAGGAAUAAGCACCGGCUAACUUCGUGCCAGCAGCCGCGGUAAUACGAAGGGUGCAAGCGUUAUCCGGAUUCAUUGGGUUUAAAGGGUGCGUAGGCGGAGCGUUAAGUCAGUGGUGAAAUCCUGCAGCUUAACUGUAGACUUGCCAUUGAUACUGGCGCUCUUGAGUGCGCUUGAAGUGGGCGGAAUGUGCCGUGUAGCGGUGAAAUGCUUAGAUAUGGCACAGAACACCAAUUGCGAAGGCAGCUCACUAAGGCGAUACUGACGCUGAGGCACGAAAGCGUGGGGAGCAAACAGGAUUAGAUACCCUGGUAGUCC